rnacentral:rRNA from 1 species
AACGAACGCUGGCGGCGCGCUUAACACAUGCAAGUCGAACGAGAAGCCGUAGCAAUACGGUUGUAAAGUGGCAGACGGGUGAGUAAUGCAUGGGUAAUCUACCCUCAGGUGGGGAAUAACUCCUCGAAAGGGGAGCUAAUGCCGACGAUAUCCACCAGCCUCAUAAGAGGUUGUUGGAAAGCCGAACCGGGGGUUCGGCGCCUGAGGAUGGGCUCAUGUCCUAUCAGCUUGUUGGCGGGGUAAUGGCCCACCAAGGCUGCGACGGGUAGCUGGUCUGAGAGGACGACCAGCCACACUGGCACUGCGACACGGGCCAGACUCCUACGGGAGGCAGCAGUGAGGAAUCUUGCGCAAUGGGCGAAAGCCUGACGCAGCGACGCUGCGUGGGGGAUGAAGGCCUUCGGGUUGUAAACCCCUUUCGGGAGGGAAGAUGGGACGGGUAACCGUUCGGACGGUACCUUCAGAAGCAGCCACGGCUAACUCUGUGCCAGCAGCCGCGGUAA